AUGUGUUUUAAGAUGUGUUUAAAGAUGAAAUGCUUUAAUUGCUUCUACACUAAACGCAGUGACCGCCACAGCAACAAAAUGACCAACAGCCCCUCCAAGGCAUCAGGAGAGCAUGACCAACAAAGCAAACAAGACCGCAAGGAAACUGCGAAGACAACUGGAUCCAAACGAGGACAGGCUGAAGGUAUCCCAAAGGAAGAUGCUGUCGUGCUUAAAGAGUGGAGUUUUAAGACCAGGGAGUCGUCAAUCACUGGUGGUAAAACAGGUCAAAUGACAGCAAGACCUCAACCAGACAAUGCAAAAGAGCCAAUCAAGAGCUUUGUGUCUGAAAAGGGGGACAUGAUGGAUACAGAUGAAGAGAGGUCACUGGAUAAACCCAGAGAAAGCAAAGAAAAUAGUACUAAUAGAUUGAAGAGGAAGAACACAAUAACCCAAGAGAAAGACUCAAGGAAAUCAUCAACCACUUCUUCAAAAAAACUAACAUUAAACAGGCCCAGAAGAAAACUUAAAAAGGACCUAAUACCGAACCCUGAGGUCUUCCACAAGAUUGACACACACGCAAUCAAUGCUGGAAGAGAGCUCAGAAUCAAGAAGAUCUUUUCGGUGCAAGCAAUCACCCAGACAAUCACAGAGGGAGCAAGCAGUGAUUUAGACAAACUGCGUGCCAUCUGGAUCUGGCUUUGCCACUACAUUGAGUAUGAUGUGAAGGGCUAUCUGGGCCUUUCUAAGAUGGUUUACUCUCCUGAGCAGGUCAUUUUGACUGGACGAGCUGUGUGCUCUGGUUACUCCAGCGUCUGUUUACAGAUGUGCNUUCAGCGUCCCUGACAGACAAUCAAUCAUGAAAUGCAAUCGCUAUUGUGUGUGGCACAGACUGUUUGAAGAGUUCAGCUGGCAGUAGGUCAC
ensembl:lncRNA